GGCCAGACUCCUACGGGAGGCAGCAGUGGGGAAUAUUGCACAAUGGGGGGAACCCUGAUGCAGCGACGCCGCGUGAAGGAAGAAGUAUCUCGGUAUGUAAACUUCUAUCAGCAGGGAAGAAAGAGGACGGUACCUGACUAAGAAGCCCCGGCUAACUACGUGCCAGCAGCCGCGGUAAUACGUAGGGGGCGAGCGUUAUCCGGAUUUACUGGGUGUAAAGGGAGCGUAGACGGCAGCGCAAGUCUGAAGUGAAAUGCCGGGGCUUAACCCCGGAACUGCUUUGGAAACUGUGCAGCUAGAGUGCAGGAGAGGUAAGUGGAAUUCCUAGUGUAGCGGUGAAAUGCGUAGAUAUUAGGAGGAACACCAGUGGCGAAGGCGGCUUACUGGACGGUAACUGACGUUGAGGCUCGAAAGCGUGGGGAGCAAACAGGAUUAGAUACCCCGGUAAAC
rnacentral:rRNA from 1 species